AAGAGCACGACAUUGCUCACAUUGCUUCCAGUAUUUUUCAGCCCGCCUUGCGCGGGCUUUUUUUU
rfam:Erwinia mallotivora strain BT-MARDI contig_21, whole genome shotgun sequence.